UAGACACUGUAUUGGUACUUUCCUAGGUAAGAGAAAAAGAGGUUCAACCCCAUGCCCAAGGCCCCUUCCAUGUCUUAUGUCCCCUUUCCAAUCACAGAGGUCAUACAGUUAGAACUUGAGGAGCUUCAGAGACGAAUUCAAGUCUCUCAUUUCAUAGCUGGAAGCAAGUAAGAGCAGCUGGUUGGGGUGGAGAAGGUGUGUCUAGGCUUCACUGUAAUGGUGGGAUAUCUCUCAUCUUCAGAGCCUCAGCUCUUCAAGUUUAAAGUGAGGACAGUGAAGCUUAAUACC
rnacentral:lncRNA from 1 species